CUUUUAUGGAGAGUUUGAUCCUGGCUCAGGACGAACGCUGGCGGCGUGCCUAAUACAUGCAAGUCGAGCGCGGGAAGCAGACAGAAUCCUUCGGGAGGACGUUUGUGGAACGAGCGGCGGACGGGUGAGUAACACGUGGGCAACCUGCCUGUAAGACUGGGAUAACUCCGGGAAACCGGGGCUAAUACCGGAUAAUUCAUCGAAUCGCAUGAUUCGAU
rnacentral:rRNA from 1 species